rnacentral:rRNA from 1 species
GACGUAGGUCGCAAACGUUAUCCGGAAUUAUUGGGCGUAAAGGGUGCGUAGAUUGUCUGAUAAGUUAGCAGUGGUAAAUCGAGGCUCAACCUCGUGGAAGCUGGUAAUACUGUUAUACUCGAGUGCAGGAGAGGUUAACGGAACUCCAUGUGGAGCGGUAAAAUGCGUAGAUAUAUGGAAGAACAUCAAUAACGGCGAAGGCAGUUAACUAUUCUGCUACUGACAUUGAGGCACGAAAGCGAGGGGAGCAAAAAGG